UGCCUCUAUAGCUAAGACCAAGCUGGCUAGUGUUGUGAGAGUUCUGCUGGAGAAACUGCAACAGGAUGAGCAAAACAAAAUAGACAUUUACUAUAUCCUGGAGAAUGUGUUAGAGCAGGACACCGGGGGCCUAGAGAGAAGGCUAGUGAACAAAAUUAUAAGCCUAGCCUCAGAGCAGAUGAGAGAGACUCGGCAAGUAACAAAUGAACUUAAAGUGGCAGCUAGUAACACCUUAGUGACGCUGGCACGCUGCUAUUUCAAUGAUGUGAUGUCUGAGCUGCGGUGUCAUCUGAACCUGCCGGAAGAGUUUAUUUUAGUUACACUGGGCAACCUGUCAUCAGCCUAUGCACUUAAGUGUAUC